AGUGAACGCUGGCGGCAGGCCUAACACAUGCAAGUCGAACGGAAGCACAGUAAGAGUUUGCUUUUACGGGUUGCGAGUGGCGGACGGGUGACGAAUACAUCGCAAUCUUCUCUUUCGUGGGGGAUUACGUAGCGACGCUUAUUCUAAUAUCGCAUAUGACCUACGGUUUAAAUCUGUGGAUCUUCGUUCCUUUCGCGUUUGAUUUAGCUGGUGGCGGAUUAGCUUGUUGGUGUGGUAAUGGCCUACCAAGGCAACGAUCCGUAGCUGAUCUGAGAGGAUGAUCGGCCACACUGGAACUGAGACACGGUCCAGACUACUACGGGAGGCAGCAGUAGGGAAUAUUGGACAAUGGGCGCAAGCCUGAUCCAGCCAGACUGCGUGGGUGAAGAAGGCCUUCGGGUUGUAAAGACCUUUUGUUGGGAAAGAAAAGCAGAAGAAUAAAACGACGAUGUUGUGACGGUACCUAAUGAAUAAGCACCGGCUAACUACGUG
rnacentral:rRNA from 1 species